rnacentral:rRNA from 1 species
UGGGGAAUUUUCCGCAAUGGGCGAAAGCCUGACGGAGCAAUACCGCGUGAGGGAGGAAUGCUUUUGGGUUGUAAACCUCUUUUCUCAGGGAAGAAGAUCUGACGGUACCUGAGGAAUAAGUAUCGGCUAACUCCGUGCCAGCAGCCGCGGUAAUACGGAGGAUGCAAGCGUUAUCCGGAAUCAUUGGGCGUAAAGCGUCCGCAGGUGGUUUCCAAAGUCUGCUGUUAAAGACUGGAGCUCAACUCCGGAACGGCGGUGGAAACUUGGAAACUAGAGUUCGGUAGGGGUAGCAGGAAUUCCCAGUGUAGCGGUGAAAUGCGUAGAUAUUGGGAAGAACAUCGGUGGCGAAGGCGUGCUACUGGACCGUAACUGACACUCAGGGACGAAAGCUAGGGGAGCGAAAGGGAUUAGAUACCCCUGUAGUCCUAGCUGUAAACGAUGGAAACUAGGUGUGGCUUA